rnacentral:tRNA from 1 species
CGGAAUAGCUCAGUUGGUAGAGCAGAGGACUGAAAAUCCUCGUGUC